CUACGGAGGAUGCAAGCGUUAUCCGGAUUUAUUGGGUUUAAAGGGUGCGUAGGCGGAUGAUUAAGCGUGAGGUGAAAUGCCACUGCUCAACAGUGGAACUGCCUCGCGAACUGGUUGUCUUGAAUGCUCCUGCCGUGGGAGGAAUGUGUGGUGUAGCGGUGAAAUGCAUAGAGAUCACACAGAACACCGAUUGCGAAGGCAUCGCACGAAGGGGAGAGUGACGCUGAGGCACGAAAGCGUGGGGGUCGACCAGGAUUAGAUACCCUGGUAGUCCACGCCGUAAACGAUGGGCGCUCGUCGUCGGCGGCAGACAGUCGGCGGCCAAGCGAAAGCGAUAAGCGCCCCACCUGGGGAGUACGGUCGCAAGGCUGAAACUCAAAUGAAUUGACGGGG
rnacentral:rRNA from 1 species